rnacentral:rRNA from 1 species
CUCCAGAGUUUUUGAUCAUGGCUCAGGAUGAACGCUGGCGGUCUGCUUAACACAUGCAAGUCGAACGGAAGUAGCAAUACUUUAGUGGCGGACGGGUGAGUAACACGUAAGAAUCUGCCUCCAGGACGGGAAAAACAGUUGGAAACGACUGCUAAUUCCGGAUGAGCCGAAAGGUAAAAAGAAAUUCGCCUGGAGAUGAGCUUGCGGCUGAUUAGCUAGUUGGUAGGGUAAGAGCUUACCAAGGCGACGAUCAGUAGCUGGUCUGAGAGGAUGAGCAGCCACACUGGGACUGAGACACGGCCCAGACUCUUACGGGAGGCAGCAGUGGGGAAUUUUCCGCAAUGGGCGAAACCCUGACGGAGCAAGACCGCGUGGGGGAGGAAGGUUCUUGGAUUGUCAACCCCUUUUCUCAGGGAAGAAGUUCUGACGGUACUUGAGGAAUCAGCAUCGGCUAACUCCGUGCCAGCAGCCGCGGUAAUACGGAGGAUGCAAGCGUUAUCCGGAAUGAUUGGGCGUAAAGAGUCCGUAGGUGGCGAGUCAAGUCGAUUGUCAAAGAGCGAGGCUUAACUUCGUGAAGGCAGUGGAAACUGACUAGCUAGAGAGCAGUAGGGGCAGAAGGAAUUCCUGGUGUAGCGGUGAAAUGCGUAGAGAUCAGGAAGAACACCGGUGGCGAAAGCGUUCUGCUGGGCUGCGACUGACACUGAGGGACGAAAGCUAGGGGAGCGAAUGGGAUUAGAUACCCCAGUAGUCCUAGCCGUAAACGAUGGAUACUAGGUGUUGUGAGUAUCGACCCUCACAGUGCCGAAGCCAACGCAUUAAGUAUCCCGCCUGGGGAGUACGCACGCAAGUGUGAAACUCAAAGGAAUUGACGGGGGCCCGCACAAGCGGUGGAGUAUGUGGUUUAAUUCGAUGCAACGCGAAGAACCUUACCAGGGUUUGACAUGUCCGGAAUCUCUCUGAAAGGAGAGAGUGCCUUCGGGAGCCGGAACACAGGUGCUGCAUGGCUGUCGUCAGCUCGUGUCGUGAGAUGUUGGGUUAAGUCCCGCAACGAGCGCAACCCUCGUCGUUAGUUGCCAGCAAGAAAGAUGGGAACUCUAGCGAGACUGCCGGUGACAAACCGGAGGAAGGUGGGGAUGACGUCAAGUCAGCAUGGCCCUUACAUCCUGGGCGACACACGUACUACAAUGCUAGGGACAAAGAGCAGCGACUUCGCGAGGAGAAGCGAAUCUCGAAAACCCUGGCUCAGUUCAGAUUGCUCUCUGCAACUCGAAGAGCAUGAAGGAGGAAUCGCUAGUAAUCGCAGGUCAGCAUACUGCGGUGAAUCCGUUCCCGGGCCUUGUACACACCGCCCGUCACACCAUGGAAGUUUGCCACGCCCGAAGUCAUUACUCUAACCAUUCGUGGAGGAGGGUGCCGAAGGCAGGGCUGAUGACUGGGGUGAAGUCGUAAC